UGGACACACAGGACAAGAGUCACAGUUGGUGUAAAUGGUCAUAGCUCUAUAGACUUCAUGUGCCCUUGCUGGGGAUCUGGCCCACGGACUUCACGAUGCUCAACUAGGAUAGACUUUGGGAAGUUCAGAAGAACACACCUACUUCUGGAAAUAUGCCAUGGUGAAAUUGAUUCAACCUAUACCUGGGAAAUAAUAUUGACUUCAAAUAAGGGUUACUGGCCUAGUGGAUGAGGAGGAGGGAAUCAGUAAACGUGAUAUACCUUGAUUAUUUUUAAGG